UGUGUAUAUAUGUAUAUGUGUAUAUAUAUAUAUAUAUAUAUAUAUAUAUAUAUAUGUAUAUGUGUGUGUGUGUGUGUGUUUUUUUUUUGUUUUGUUUUGUUUUUGUUUUUGUUUUUUUGCUAGAAAAAUCUAUCAAUGACAAUGAAGAAAUAUUAACUUCUGUGACUUCUGAUUUGCCUCACUUCUCCGAGACUGCAGCUCAAGAUGACCAGGGAAUGAUGCCUGUGUGACUUCUGGUUCACCUCCUGUCCCUGACUCAGUUACUAAAGGUUUACGUGUUUCAUCAAGGCGGUGUGUGAAGAGACCAUGGUCUGAGGAGGAGAUAGGAGCGGUGAUGAAACAUAUGAAGCCUUUUAUUGAAAACGGUAUCACUGUCACCAACCAGCAGUGUCUGAAGUGCAAAGAAAAGGAACAACCUAUCUUGGAGACGAGAUCUAUUCAAAACAUUCGAGAUUUUGUGCGCAACAGAGGACUGGCC
ensembl:lncRNA